rnacentral:rRNA from 1 species
AUUGAACGCUGGCGGCAGGCCUAACACAUGCAAGUCGAGCGGUAGCACAGAGAGCUUGCUCUCGGGUGACGAGCGGCGGACGGGUGAGUAAUGUCUGGGAAACUGCCUGAUGGAGGGGGAUAACUACUGGAAACGGUAGCUAAUACCGCAUAACGUCGCAAGACCAAAGUGGGGGACCUUCGGGCCUCAUGCCAUCAGAUGUGCCCAGAUGGGAUUAGCUAGUAGGUGGGGUAAUGGCUCACCUAGGCGACGAUCCCUAGCUGGUCUGAGAGGAUGACCAGCCACACUGGAACUGAGACACGGUCCAGACUCCUACGGGAGGCAGCAGUGGGGAAUAUUGCACAAUGGGCGCAAGCCUGAUGCAGCCAUGCCGCGUGUGUGAAGAAGGCCUUCGGGUUGUAAAGCACUUUCAGCGGGGAGGAAGGCGGUGAGGUUAAUAACCUCAUCGAUUGACGUUACCCGCAGAAGAAGCACCGGCUAACUCCGUGCCAGCAGCCGCGGUAAUACGGAGGGUGCAAGCGUUAAUCGGAAUUACUGGGCGUAAAGCGCACGCAGGCGGUCUGUCAAGUCGGAUGUGAAAUCCCCGGGCUCAACCUGGGAACUGCAUUCGAAAACUGGCAGGCUAGAGUCUUGUAGAGGGGGGUAGAAUUUCCAGGUGUAGCGGUGAAAUGUGUAGAGAUCUGGAGGAAUACCGGUGGCGAAGGCGGCCCCUCUGGGACAAAGACUGACGCUCAGGUGCGAAAGCGUGGGGAGCAAACAGGAUUAGAUACCCUGGUAGUCCACGCCGUAAACGAUGUCGAUUUGGAGGUUGUGCCCUUGAGGCGUGGCUUCCGGAGCUAACGCGUUAAAUCGACCGCCUGGGGAGUACGGCCGCAAGGUUAAAACUCAAAUGAAUUGACGGGGGCCCGCACAAGCGGUGGAGCAUGUGGUUUAAUUCGAUGCAACGCGAAGAACCUUACCUGGUCUUGACAUCCACAGAACUUAGCAGAGAUGCUUUGGUGCCUUCGGGAACUGUGAGACAGGUGCUGCAUGGCUGUCGUCAGCUCGUGUUGUGAAAUGUUGGGUUAAGUCCCGCAACGAGCGCAACCCUUAUCCUUUGUUGCCAGCGGUUAGGCCGGGAACUCAAAGGAGACUGCCAGUGAUAAACUGGAGGAAGGUGGGGAUGACGUCAAGUCAUCAUGGCCCUUACGACCAGGGCUACACACGUGCUACAAUGGCAUAUACAAAGAGAAGCGACCUCGCGAGAGCAAGCGGACCUCAUAAAGUAUGUCGUAGUCCGGAUUGGAGUCUGCAACUCGACUCCAUGAAGUCGGAAUCGCUAGUAAUCGUAGAUCAGAAUGCUACGGUGAAUACGUUCCCGGGCCUUGUACACACCGCCCGUCACACCAUGGGAGUGGGUUGCAAAAGAAGUAGGUAGCUUAACCUUCGGGAGGGCGCUUACCACUUUGUGAUUCAUGACUGGGGUGA